UUGCUGGUGGUCACAGCCCAGGUGUUGAGUGGUCAGGAGGCCCAAGACAGUCUAAUAUUUAAACACUUCCUCUCGGUUCUCCAGGGAGCUCAUCCAAGUCCAGAAACAAGAGCCAACAACAGGCAGCUUAGUCAUGGACAUACUUUAACUCAGAUCUUUUUUUAUUGUUAGCCCAUUGCAGACUUUCGUAUUCUGUUUGUUUGUUUGUUUGUUUGUUUGUUUGUUUGUUUUUCAAGACAGGGUUUUUUUUUGUGUAUAGUCCUAGUUGUCCUGGAAUUAGCUUUGUAAACCAGACAGAGAUCCACUUGCCUCUGCCUCCUGAGCACUGGGAUUAAAGGUGAGCUACCCCUGCCUGGCUCAACUUUUAUACUCUUGAAAUUGUGAAAAUCACUUCCUGGUUUACUAAAUCCUAGAUGAUGUGGCAACAUUGGAUCCACUUUCUCAAGUGUCUGACUGGAGAGGAAGACUGGGUAGGAAGCAGAGGGAGGGGCCUCCAGUCACUGUCCUCACCACACCUGCUGCUUUACACUUAGUUUAUUUCACUCUUUAAGUUUGAAAUAUUUUGCUUCAAUUUUCCUGCUCUGAUCAUUAUAUCCUAGCGUUUUCUGUUGUGGUUUCUUUAAUCUUUGAGACUGGGAUGUCCACAGGACAAGCCGCUGUCAGAAGACUUAUCAGUUCCUUUAUGUACUAUAUAUAGUGUUGGCACCACCCACUCCAAUCUGUUUAUGGAGAUAUUAAAGGGAGACUUUUUAAAUAUACAUUAAUUUCAUGUAGUACACUGGGUCUCAAUCUGUGGACCACAGCCUUUUUGGGAGUUUAACAGCCCUUUCGCAGGGACCACCUAAGACCAUUGGAAAACACAGGUAUGUGCAUUACGAUUCAUAACAGUAGCAACAUAAUGGCAUGAAAUAACAAUGAAAAUAACAUUAUGAUUGGGGGUCACCACAACAUGAGGAACUGUGUUAAAGGGUCACAGCCUUAGGAAGGCUGAGAAACACUGAGGUAGGACAAACAGCUGAUAAAAUUAAUUCUUUGCAAUCUGUCUCUUUGGUCAUGAAUUCUGCAUCUAUCUUUGUUGGAUUUGAUAUUGGACUUUAAUAAAAAUCUU
rnacentral:lncRNA from 1 species